UACGUAGGGUGCGAGCGUUGUCCGGAAUUAUUUGGGCGUAAAGAGCUCGUAGGCGGCCUGUCGCGUCGGAUGUGAAAGCCCGGGGCUUAACCCCCGGGUCUGCAUUCGAUACGGGGCAGGCUAGAGUGUGGUAGGGGGAGAUCGGAAUUCCUGGUGUAGCGGUGAAAAUGCGCAGAUAUCAGGAGGAAACACCGGUGGCGAAGGCGGCGACCUGGUCCUGACUGAGCUG
rnacentral:rRNA from 1 species